AGAUAUCAAAAAACUUUCAACUGAGAAAAUGUUUAACAAAUAAAACACUACAAUUCUUCAGUUGACACCUUUUUGAUUAUUUCAU
ensembl:ncRNA ZC581.11 ncRNA